UACGUAGGUGGCAAGCGUUAUCCGGAUUUAUUGGGCGUAAAGGGAACGCAGGCGGUCUUUUAAGUCUGAAGUGAAAGGCGGGGGCUCAACCCCCGGACUGCUUUGGAAACUGUUUGACUGGAGUGCAGGAGAGGUAAGUGGAAUUCCUAGUGUAGCGGUGAAAUGCGUAGAUAUUAGGAGGAACACCAGUGGCGAAGGCGGCUUACUGGACUGUAACUGACGUUGAGGCUCGAAAGCGUGGGGAGCAAACAGG
rnacentral:rRNA from 1 species